rnacentral:rRNA from 1 species
ACAAACGCUGGCGGCGUGCCUAAUACAUGCAAGUCUAACGGGUAGCAAUAUCAGUGGCGCACGGGUGAGGAAUAUAUGGGUAAUCUGCCCUCGAGUCGGGGAUAACCAGUCGAAAGACUGGCUAAUACCGGAUAAGACCACAGGAUCUGCGGAUCUAGGGGUUAAAGGUUUUUCGCUUGAGGAUGAGCCCAUACGGGAUUAGCUAGUUGGUGAGGUAAUGGCUCACCAAGGCUACGAUCCCUAACUGGUCUUAGAGGAUGAUCAGUCACACUGGAACUGAGACACGGUCCAGACUCCUACGGGAGGCAGCAGUAGGGAAUAUUGCACAAUGGGGGAAACCCUGAUGCAGCGACGCCGCGUGAGUGAUGAAGGCCUUCGGGUCGUAAAGCUCUGUCGUAUGGGACUAACACAAUGAAGGUACCAUGCAAGAAAGGAUCGGCUAACUUCGU